CCUACGGGAGGCAGCAGUGGGGGAUAUUGGUCAAUGGACGAGAGUCUGAACCAGCCAAGUAGCGUGAAGGAUGACUGCCCUAUGGGUUGUAAACUUCUUUUAUAUGGGAAUAAAACGUUCCACGUGUGGGAUUUUGUAUGUACCAUAUGAAUAAGGAUCGGCUAACUCCGUGCCAGCAGCCGCGGUAAUACGGAGGAUCCGAGCGUUAUCCGGAUUUAUUGGGUUUAAAGGGAGCGUAGGUGGAUUGUUAAGUCAGUUGUGAAAGUUUGCGGCUCAACCGUAAAAUUGCAGUUGAAACUGGCAGUCUUGAGUACAGUAGAGGUGGGCGGAAUUCGUGGUGUAGCGGUGAAAUGCUUAGAUAUCACGAAGAACUCCGAUUGCGAAGGCAGUUCACUGGACUGCAACUGACACUGAGGCUCGAAAGUGUGGGUAUCAAACAGGAUUAGAUACCCUUGUAGUC
rnacentral:rRNA from 1 species